rnacentral:rRNA from 1 species
GGACGAACGCUUGCGACGUGCCUAAGAAAUGCAAGUCGAGCGAGGCAGCAAUGCCUAGCGGCGAACGGUCGCGUAACACGUAAGCAACCUGCCCCAAAGACCGGGACAACGUUUCGAAAGGAGCGCUAAUACCGGAUGUGCCCGCCUGUUGACAUCUUCGGGUGAGUAAAUCAAGCAAUUGGCUUUGGGAGGGGCUUGCGGCCUAUCAGCUAGAUGGUGGGGUAACGGCCUACCAUGGCGACGACAGGUAGCUGGUCUGAGAGGAUGGUCAGCCGGAUUGGGACUGAGAUACGGCCCAGACUCCUACGGGGGGCAGCAAUUAGGAAUCUUGCGCAAUGGGCGAAAGCCUGACGCAGCGACGUCGCGUGGGGGAGGAAGGCUUUCGGGUUGUAAACCCCUUUUGUCGAGGAAGAAACAAAUGACGGUACUCGACGAAUAAGCCCCGGCUAACUCCGUGCCAGCAGCCGCGGUAAUACGGAGGGGGCUAGCGUUGUCCGAAGUUACUGGGCGUAAAGCGCGCGUAGGCGGGUUGGUAAGUCCGCUGUGAAAGCCCGGAGCUCAACUCCGGAGGGUCGGUGGAUACUGCCAGUCUUGAAGGUGCUAGGGGGAGAUGGAAUUACCGGUGUAGCGGUGAAAUGCGUAGAUAUCGGUAGGAACACCAGUGGCGAAGGCGGUCUCCUGGGGCAUUCUUGACGCUGAGGCGCGAAAGCUGGGGGAGCGAACGGGAUUAGAUACCCCGGUAGUCCCAGCCCUAAACGAUGGAUACUAGGUGUCGGGGGUAUCGACCCCCCCGGUGCCGCCGCUAACGCAGUAAGUAUCCCGCCUGGGGAGUACGGCCGCAAGGUUGA